rnacentral:tmRNA from 1 species
GGGGGCGACAGGCUUCGACGCGGUCGGUUCGCGGGGGUGAUUGCGAGCCGAGGUGGGGGAGGCCUCGUUAAACACCCCCACAACACACACAUGCGGACUCUCACGAGUACGCCCUCGCUGCCUAGCACACACUAGGUAGGUGAGGUAUCGGGCCUCGCUCGCCGGCGGCGGGGGUUCCCGGUAUCAACUCAGCCGGAUCACCUUGCGCGGACGCCCUCGUCGCGCCGGGGACAUCUCAGGAGGGCUGGCGCUUCGGACGUGGGUCGACGGGACCGACGGAGCGUGAGACCCAGAUACGCCGACUACGCUCGUAGACGUCGCCCUUGGCGCGGUCGCGGACGCGGGUUCAACUCCCGCCGUCUCCACCU